rnacentral:tRNA from 1 species
GCCGCUAUGGGGAAAUUGGUAGACACGC